rnacentral:rRNA from 1 species
UCCGUAGGUGAACCUGCGGAGGGAUCAUUACACAAUAACAAUACGAAGGCCGUUCGCGGCUGGACUAUUUUAUUACCCUUGUCUUUUGCGCACUUGUUGUUUCCUGGGCGGGUUCGCUCGCCACCAGGACCACCAUAUAAACCUUUUUUAUGCAGUUGCAAUCAGCGUCAGUAUAACAAAUGUAAAUCAUUUACAACUUUCAACAACGGAUCUCUUGGUUCUGGCAUCGAUGAAGAACGCAGCGAAAUGCGAUACGUAGUGUGAAUUGCAGAAUUCAGUGAAUCAUCGAAUCUUUGAACGCACAUUGCGCCCUUUGGUAUUCCAAAGGGCAUGCCUGUUCGAGCGUCAUUUGUACCCUCAAGCUUUGCUUGGUGUUGGGCGUUUUUGUCCUUGGGUUCGCCCAAAGACUCGCCUUAAAAUGAUUGGCAGCCGGCCUACUGGUUUCGCAGCGCAGCACAUUUUUGCGCUUGCAAUCAGCAAAAGAGGACGGCAAUCCAUCAAGACUCCAUCUCACGUUUGACCUCGGAUCAGGUAGGGAUACCCGCUGAACUUAAGCAUAUCAAUAAGCGGAGGAAAAG